UCGAAGCACAGGCAAGUCGAUCACAGGCCAAAACACGGCUAAUCCGACAGCAAUGCUGCUGGCUGGGGUGAAGCUGUGCCGCUACUUAGGCCUGUCAGCACAUGCCGAUGUCAUUGAAUCUGCAAUCUGGAAGACCAUCAGUGACGACAAGGUGCACACGCCUGACCUUGGCGGAUCGGCUACGACCUCCGACGUCCUUGACUCGAUUACGCAGAAGAUCGGAGCGCACAUGGCGUCGAGGUAGGUGGCUGUUCAGCGGCACAGCAACCGUGGCUGAAACCAUCGCCAGUAAGACAUUUUCGACGGCUCGGACAGUGAAGAGAGACGACAAAGCAUCACAUUGUCGAACCGCCGCUUUAAUCAGAGUGCCGGG